rnacentral:rRNA from 1 species
UACCAGAUCUUGCCCGUAACAUAUGCUUGUCUCAAAGAUUAAGCUACGGAUGUUUAUGUACACCCAGCUGAUACAGUGAAAUUGUGAACUCAUUAAAUCAAUUUUGGUUCCUUUGGUUGCUUGCUCCUUUCCUGUUUGAAUAACUGGUAAUUGUAGAUAUAAUACAUCAUAAUAAGCACUAGCCCCAUUUGUUUGUGGGGUAGAUGUGAGCAUUUAUCAAAUCAAAACCCACCUGGACAAAUCAUCUUCCUCUUGGUCAGAGGUGAGCACCAGUGUCUUUGUUGAUCCCAGAUAACAUGCCCCAAUAUUGGCAAUGACCCCAUUCAACAAGCUUCCUUGUCAAAUUUCAGUGCUAUGUGUUGUGCCUACUUUGGUGACCACGGGUGAUGGAUGCUGGGAAAUCAGGGCUUGAUUCCUGAAAGGGAGGCUGAGGAAUGGGUACUACAUCCAAGGAAGGCAGCAGGUGUGCAAAUUACUCACUUCCAACCCAAAAAAGGAGUAACAAAAAUAAUACAGGAGACUUUUGAGGCCCUGUAAAUGGAAUGAUUACACUUAAAAUAUUUUUCUGAGGAUCCAUUGGAAGAAAAGUGUGGUGCCAGCAGCCACGGGAAUUCUAGCUCCAACAGUGUAUCUGUGGGGCCUAAAGUGUUUACUUUGGAAAAUCCUAUUCCAUCAUCCCCAGCUAUAGUAUCCAGACAGCUCAGGCCUGUUUUGAACUCUAACCUUGGUUCUGUGAGGUUGGUUUUUGGAAGUGAGGUCAUGAUUAAGAGAGACUGCCAGUGGCAUUUGUAUGGCAGCACUAGAGGUGAAAAUUUUGGACUGCUGGAAGCUGGACCAGAAUAAGAUGAAGAAAAGUGUGGUGCCACAAGCCACAGGAAUUCUAGCUCCAACAGCGAAUCUGCGGGGCCUAAAGUGUUUACUUUCAAAAAUCCUAUUCCAUCAUCCCCAGCUAUAGUAUCCAGACAGCUCAGGCCUGUUUUGAACUCUAACCUUGGUUCUGUGAGGUUGGUUUUUGGAAGUGAGGUCAUGAUUAAGAGAGACUGCCAGUGGCAUUUGUAUGGCAGCACUAGAGGUGAAAAUUUUGGACUGCUGGAAGCUGGACCAGAAUAAGAACAUUUGCCAAGAAUAUUUUCAUUAAUGAAGAAUGAAAGUUGAUUCUAAGACAAUUGGAUAGUGUAAUUAUGACCAUAAAUGAUGCCAAUUGGAACUGUGAUAACAUUCCCGUGACCCACUGAGCUGCUUGUGGGAAACCAAAGUCUGGGUUCCACAGGGAGUAUGAUUGCAAAGCUGAAACUUUAAAGGAACUGAUGGUAGGGCACCACCAGGAACGGGAGCCUGUGGCUUAAUUUGACUCAGCAUGGGAUACCUCCAUUGGUCCAGACAUCGACAGGAUUGACAAACCAACAGCUCUGCCUUCAUGCCAUGGGUGAUGGUGUACGGUCAUUCUUAGUUGGUGGAGCCAUUUGUUAAUUUUGACAAUGUUGUGAUCCACUGAUCUCCUUCUGGGAAACCAAAGUCUGGGUUCUACAGGGAGUAUGUUUGCAAAGUUGAAACCUUAAAGGAACUGAUGGAAGGGCACCACCAGUAACGGGAGCCUGUGGCUUAAUUUGACUCAGCAUGGGAUACCUCCGUUGGUCCAGUCAUGGACUGGAUUGAUAAACCAAUAGCUCUGCCUUGAUGCCAUGGGUGGUGGUGCAUGGUCAUUCUUAGUUGGUGGAGCCAUUUGUUAAUUUUGACAAUGUAAGAGAUUCUGGCAUGCUAACUAGUUAUGUGACCCACAAGUGUUCCUGUUUCCCAACCACUUGGAUGGACAAGUGGUAUUAGGCCCCUAAGAUAGAUCAAUAAUAGAUCAGCAAUGCCCCCCUUAUAUAUGUGGGCUUGCAGGUAUGCUUCAUUGAAUGGCUUAGUGUGUGCCUAGCAUAUGGCAGCAAGUCUAUGUAAAUUUUUGAAUCCCAUUUUGAUUGGUAUUGGGGAUUUCAGUUUUUCCUGAUGAACAAGGAAUUCCCAAUUGAGGUUGUAAGCUUGUCUUAAGUUUUAGUCCCUUGUAUACACCCCCUAUUGCUACUACAAAUUGAGUCACAUUGAAUGGCUCAGUG